GGCCUCUGCUCCAAAAGCCUCCCGUGCAGACUGGAGGUCUGUGUUUCUGGACGCCGCCGCCUGCAGCUUUAACACCUGCCUGCAAAGUUAGCGCAAAAGAACAAUCUAAAGCGAGUCCACUGAUGGGACCUUUGAAGGUGACUGAAUAAAGAGGUGGGCGGCUGCAUUUUAAGCCCCAAAUAUGGACCAUUAAUCUUCCAACAGCAGACAGAGAGGAGCGCGGCAGCCUGACAAUCCGAAACACGGCAGAACAUUGCUGAAGUAAAGAGCGCCUCCGGAGCGUGAUGUCAUUUAUGACACAUAAUGUCUGUUAUUAUGGCCUUCACAGCAACACACAAAGAAAAUAAGUAAUAGGCAAGAUACAUUUAUUUUAGUAAAUUCAGGAAAAUGUGUGUGUUCACUUUAAGCUAUACUUAUUUUUAGUACAUUUAUUGAAUAAAAUCCUACAUUUUCACAGAGAUAUGAAUCCAAGAAACCUAAACUCCUCUGCUGCUUUGGGAAAUUAGCAGCUGUUUCGUUCACACCAAGAGGUCAACAAAACACUCAUCAUUAUUAAAACAAAUAAGCCAAGGAUGAAUGUUCCUGAUGACUUACACAGAUGUACAAUGCAUGCACUUUUGGAUUACAUGUUUAGCAUUCUUGAGGAGGGACACUCUCACAUGUUUGUGUUUACUUGUGUCUGUGCGAUAGCCGAGUCGGUCUCCCUCAGAUGUUCCCUUUGACCUCUGGGCCGGGGUCAAACUCAGACAAAUGAGAUGGUCAAGCUCUGGCGAGAGCUGCAAACAUUCCACAAUAAUCUUCUCUCCUACUCCUCCUUUUCCUCUUCUCUUGUCUUUUUGCUCUUUGCACCUCUGUCUCCUCUUCAAGCGAGAGUGAUGUAGAUUACGUUCUCAUUUCGCACAGGCAAGUUUUUAUUGUGUUUGCUGUAAAAAUCCCGAAGCACGUGCUCUUCAAAUUAAGAGUUACAACAUUGAUUCAGUUAAAUGUCCUCAGCAUCUGCCUUGCUCACAAAAGGAAGGAAAACAAAAGUGCACGAUCUGAACGAGGGAUCUGUACUGCAGACUAGAAUCCAAUGAGCACACAUUAUGUGUGUGUUUGUGUGUGUGUGUUUGCAAAGCCUGUCAGUGAUGUCAAAGAUGAGGUAUUGCAAUGUGGCUUUUUACACACGCGGCUGGCUCUAGCAUUUCCGGCAACAUUUCUCACUCAGCCUCCCUCACACCAACCGCUCUGCUGUAAUAUCUCCCCCCAUUUCUCCAUCCUUUCAGUCCUCCCCUUCCUCCUCUCCUUCUCUCUCCACCUUUUUCUCACUGCUGCCCCACCCUGGCUAAUCUGAGCUUCUCUCCUCCCUUUCUCUCUCCCACUCAGCCUCCCCUUCAUUUUUUUUUCUUCAACCCACAGUUUUCUCUGGUGUUCUUGUCACAGAACUCAACCACCUGUGUUGUUAUGAUGACUGAUGGGGCUUAUCUGCCUUCUUCCUCCAAAAUCUGGUUCAAGUAAGUGGAUUGAUCUCUAUGAAGACUUUUAAUUGAAUAAACACAGUGGUGAUGAGACUGACCCCCCCCCCCCCCCCCCCCCACACACACACACACACUCUUCCAUCACAGCUUCAGCUACAAGUCACUGCUGUAAGAACACGCACCGUCACCACUUCUAAACGUUAGCGGAACAUUCAGUGUCACAAGAAGAAUGAAGGCCAGCAACAGUGACUGAUGUGGUAACACAGGACGAUAGAGCUAUUGAACCCACUUUCAUAAUGAUGCAAGAUUACUAAAAGGCAUUGCAAUACACCAAAGAUUAAUAAAACUGAUUCAAUCUCCA